UACGUAGGGUGCUAGCGUUGUUCGGAAUCAUUGGGCGUAAAGCGCGUGUAGGCUGUUAGUUAAGUCGGGUGUGAAAUCCCUGGGCUCAACCGAGGAAGUGCAUCCGAAACUAACUGGCUAGAAGAUGGUAGAGGAAGGUGGAAUUCCUAGUGUAGAGGUGAAAUUCGUAGAUAUUAGGAGGAAUACCGGUGGCGAAGGCGGCCUUCUGGACCAUUCUUGACGCUGAGACGCGAAAGCGUGGGGAGCAAACAGG
rnacentral:rRNA from 1 species